UGGGGAAUAUUGGACAAUGGGGGCAACCCUGAUCCAGCCAUGCCGCGUGUGUGAAGAAGGCCUUAGGGUUGUAAAACACUUUCAGCGGGGAAGAUGAUGACGGUACCCGCAGAAGAAGCCCCGGCUAACUCCGUGCCAGCAGCCGCGGUAAUACGGAGGGGGCUAGCGUUGUUCGGAAUUACUGGGCGUAAAGGGCGUGUAGGCGGCCUGCCAAGUCAGAUGUGAAAGCCCCGGGCUUAACCUGGGAACUGCAUUUGAGACUGGCCGGCUAGAGGUUGGAAGAGGAGAGUGGAAUUCCCAGUGUAGAGGUGAAAUUCGUAGAUAUUGGGAAGAACACCAGUGGCGAAGGCGACAUCCUGGACCAAUUCUGACGCUGAGGAGCGAAAGCCAGGGAGCAAACGGGAUUAGAUACCCUUGUAGUCCCUGAGCGGGCUGGCAAGGCGCAU
rnacentral:rRNA from 1 species